GAGUCAGAUCCCUGUGGAAAAUGAGUCAAAGGUCACCAUCAGAUUCUUCCUCACUUCAUCAGUGGUAUGGAAGGGUUCAGAGGAGGGAGUCAGCAGGAUAAACUUCCACUGGACACUUGAUCUGAAGAUUCUGCAGCUUUGAGAUCUUGGGACAUAGACCAUGAAAUCGGCAGAAGCUUUCUAGAAUUUCAUCUCCUCCAUCCCUCAAUACUCUUACAGAACAAUCAAUAACAAUCCAGAGAGAAGACUACUUAGG